GAUGAACGCUAGCGGCAGGCCUAACACAUGCAAGUCGAGGGGUAUGGCAGCAAUGCCAGAGACCGGCGCACGGGUGCGUAACGCGUAUGCAAUCUACCUUUUACAGAGGGAUAGCCCAGAGAAAUUUGGAUUAAUACCUCAUAGUAUAUUUUAGUGGCAUCACUAGAUUAUUAAAGUUCCAACGGUAAAAGAUGAGCAUGCGUCCUAUUAGCUGGAUGGUAAGGUAACGGCUUACCAUGGCUACGAUAGGUAGGGGUCCUGAGAGGGAGAUCCCCCACACUGGUACUGAGACAUGGACCAGACUCCUACGGGAGGCAGCAGUGAGGAAUAUUGGACAAUGGGCGCAAGCCUGAUCCAGCCAUGCCGCGUGCAGGAAGACGGUCCUAUGGAUUGUAAACUGCUUUUGUACGGGAAGAAACACUCCUACGUGUAGGAGCUUGACGGUACCGUAAGAAUAAGGAUCGGCUAACUCCGUGCCAGCCGCCGCAGUAAUAC
rnacentral:rRNA from 1 species